rnacentral:rRNA from 1 species
CGCGGUAUUUUGACUGUGCGAAGGUAGCAUAAUCAUUUGUCUUUUAAUUGAGGACUUGUAUGAAUGGCUGAACGAGAAAAUAACUGUCUCUUUAAAAAAUCUUGAAUUUUACUUUUAAGUGAAAAGGCUUAAAUAAAUUUAAAGGACGAUAAGACCCUAUAAAUCUUUAUAUUAUUUUUCUUUAAUUUUUAAAUUAUACAUUAAAAGAAAUAAAAGAAAAAAAAUAUUAUAUUGGGGAGAUAAAAAUAUAAUUUUUAACUGUUUUUAAUAUAAAACAAUGAUUUUUGAUUUAUUAAAAUUGAUCCUUUUUAAAGAUUUUAAGAUUAAGUUACUUUAGGGAUAACAGCGUAAUUUUUUUUGAGAGUUCUUAUCGAAAAAAAAGUUUGCGACCUCGAUGUUGAAUUAAAAAUAUCCUUAUAAGUGCAGAAGCUAUAAAGGAAAGUCUGUUCGACUUUUAAAUUUUUACGU